GAGCGGUAGUUCAGUUGGUUAGAAUACCGGCCUGUCACGCCGGGGGUCGCGGGUUCGAGUCCCGUCCGCUC
rnacentral:tRNA from 1 species